AUUGAACGCUGGCGGCAGGCCUAACACAUGCAAGUCGAACGAGUGGCGGACGGGUGAGUAAUGUCUGUGAAACUGCCCGAUGGAGGGGGAUAACUACUGGAAACGGUAGCUAAUACCGCAUACCAUCGGAUGUGCCCAGAUGGGAUUAGCUAGUGGGUGGGGUAACGGGUCACCUAGGCGGCAAUCCCUAGCUGGUCUGAGAGGAUGACCAGCCAAACUGGAACUGAGACACGGUCCAGACUCCUACGUGAGGCAGAAGUGGGGAAUAUUGCACAAUGGGCGCAAGCCUGAUGCAGCCAUGCCGCUUGUAUGAAGAAGGACUUCGGGUUGUAAAGUACUUUCAUCGAGGAGGCGUUACUCGCAGAAGAAGCACCGGCUAACUCCGUGCCAGCAGCCGCGGUAAUUC
rnacentral:rRNA from 1 species